AAUCAACGCUGGCGGCGUGCCUAACACAUGCAAGUCGAACGCGAAAGUCCCGCAAGGGGCAAGUAGAGUGGCGCACGGGUGAGUAACACGUGGAUAACCUGCCUUCAAGUGGGGAAUAACCUUCCGAAAGGAGGGCUAAUACCGCAUAAUACCUUGAGACAAAAGUCUCGAGGUUGAAAAGAGCAAUUUGCUUGAAGAGGGGUCCGCGCCUGAUUAGCUAGUUGGUGAGGUAAUGGCNCACCAAGGCUUCGAUCAGUAGCCGUCCUGAGAGGGAGCACGGCCACACUGGAACUGAGACACGGUCCAGACUCCUACGGGAGGCAGCAGUGGGGAAUUUUUGGCAAUGGGCGAAAGCCUGACCAAGCAACGCCGCGUGGGUGAUGAAGUAUCUUGGUACGUAAAACCCUUUACGGCAGGGACGAACCUAAUGACGGUACCUGCGGAAGAAGCCCCGGCUAACUCCGUGCCAGCCGCCGCGGUAAU
rnacentral:rRNA from 1 species